AAAUGUUUUCACAGGCGAAGCGCUGCCGUGUGCUGCUCAGCCCUGCGACCAGCGGCCACCAGCGAAGGGGCCGCCGAUGUGCACCUCGGGUGCGCAUUCCAGUAAUCAUAGCAACAAACAUUCAGGAAGCAUGUACCAUGGGGCGGUUUGCCAUUUUCUAGGGUGACGUUAUCUAUGGAAAGUCGCACAACUACAGCUUGUUGCCAAUCUAGAGAAAGCCGAGAACAUUCCACGCACGUAGGACCAUCAGAGCCAGAGAGGCUUGGAAUCUGGUCCUGUGCCAGCACAGAGCAGCUCUGUAUAAACAGCAGUUACCGUGUUAGAGGGAGAGAUGUUUACAGACGGAGAAAUAAAAACACGCCGCUUUACUGUGCCGUGGAAACCUGAGACCAGCCCGAGGCAGGGCCUGGGUUUUGUAUGUCAGAGGCCCUGUCCUGAUGGGAGCAGACAGCUCUGACGGGCAGGAACGCCGGGCCGGGCAUGUGUCCUCGGUUCCUUUCGGUGGAACAAGGGCCGCGGCUCCAGAGGGUCGGGUCCUUGCCGCCGGCCUCCUUCCGAAGGCUCCAACAUUCAGGCCGUUGGGAUCGCUGGGCUGGACGCAGGUGAGGAUCAAGUUCACACCCGCGGGGGGCUUGGUGUCUGUGUCUUCGUUGCUCCCUAGAACCGGAGGCUAUGCAGAGAGGGGACACGAGCUUUGGAGCAGGACAGACCUGGGGCCGGUCCCAACUCUGCGCUUAAAGAUUCCAUGACCUGGACUUAAACCCUCUGGAACAUGGGACUGAGAGCAUCUGCCUCACAGGUCCUCGUGGGGGACAAAUGAGACAAUGGACAGAAGGCGCUGGGCACUCAAAGUCCCUUUCCUCCGCCCCCACCCCUUUCUUUCCUUGAAAAAAUCCUGUGAUAUUUUGGGGGCACCUG